CGGUAUUUAUGCAAAAUCUCAGGUCCAGGGACAGCCCCCUCUGGACCUGAUGGGAUACAGGAAUAAUACAAGGGAUCAACCAAUACGAAUAAAAUGCAUCGUUUGAAUUUGUUACCGCCCAGCUUGGAGAUAAUGAACCCAACGGCUAUGCCAAUACAAUUAUCUCCAAGUGCCCAAAAUACGUUUUUAUUACACAUCAAAACAGGUUAAAAAUAU